rnacentral:rRNA from 1 species
GUCUACGGCCAUACCACCCUGAACGCGCCCGAUCUCGUCUGAUCUCGGAAGCUAAUCAGGGUCGGGCCUGGUUAGUACUUGGAUGGGAGAAAUAAAUGAAGGGGUUCAGAUU